GGAUGGGCCAGACAUGCUCAGGGCUUCUGGCCGCCGUGGUGUUCGCGUCGACCUUAUCCAUCCCCGGCGAGAAGGAUCCGGCAACCGGAAACCCGGUCUAUUUCGACAGGCUACCUUUUCGGAUCUUCUCGCACACGUUCGUGAUUGGGUUGUCAAGCGCCGCUACAUCUCUGGUGUUGUUCCUAUCCCUCCUCGUCGCGCCUUACAAGGAGCAGCAGUUCCGCCGUGCCAUCCCAAUCAAGUACUUCUUCGCCUGCUUGUCAUUUGGGAUCGCGCUGCUGGCUUUUCUGGUGGCAUUCACCUGCAACAUCUACUUGCAAACCUAUGUCGGACAGAGAUCGGAGACGAAGGACUUGAUUAUACUCCUACUGGAGCUCAUUGUCUUCCCCAUCGUGUGCUGCCUCUUUCUCUUCUCUCGUGGCUCCUAUUUCCUUCGGUCUUUCGGUUCUCUCUGCCGUUGACUCAGUUUUUGUCUCUAUGCUGUGAUGUGCGAGCUUUGACACUGUGACAGUCGAUGGAUGUUUGGUGUUAUUUUUAUAUACAUAUUAUGUUUAGUCAUAUGUGUUAAUAAAUGAGAUGUAAUUUGAUAUAUAAUUUUUUUAUUUAUUAUAUUUUGAUAUUUAUCAUUAUAUAUAUAUAUAUAUAUAUAGUUAUUUUUGGAUAUGUAAAAUGAGAAUCAAAUUGUGAGAUAACGACCGAUUCAUUUUUAAAUACAAAUCAUAAAUAAUUUCGAUCAUAGGAGAGAUACAUCGAGAUAAUCGGACAGACUAGUGUACUGUAUACCUGUCUAUAUGAUAGAUAUAGCUGGUCUCACGGUUGCUCGUGUAGGGAUACUAGGGAUAUAGUACAAGUGCUCAUUGGAAAAUGAGUUUACUGAUUGAUCCGCUUACGGAAUGCUGGAUGGUUAAUGAUGUCUUAUUGUCAGACAGUGAUUUCGUAGUCCUAGUGGUGUAUCUGGUCCUUAGACUUGAGACACCAAUGAUGUCCUAUAUGAGUGCUUCACUCUUUGAUACUAGACUUAUCGGUUUGGAUGUCUCAGAUCUAGCACAACCGGUUAUCGGGAGUGGCAGUCAAUCUUACGAGGACUAUUGAGUGUCGAUAGAGGAUCAUCCACUCUCGGUGUAAUGAGAAGAAUGUCCCAUGUAUUUUUGCUCAGACAAAUCCCUAGCCUUGGUCAUUUGGAAUGAGAGAGAAAGAGUUCUUUAGGAGAAUCCGAUUAGAGCGAGACUCGAGUAGAAACCGUAUGAUUUUGACAGCACCAUGCUCGGUAUACGGUCUCUGGGAUAUUAGAUGUAUGAGAGACUAUAGGUAUACGGUAACUGAGGAUAGACAAGAUCAAUGAUUGGAUUCCCUUGUAUCGUUUGAGGACUGCGACGUAAUAGCCUAAUACGACGGUAGUCGAUGAGUUGAAUGAAUUAUUAUGAAGAUAACAAUUCAUUAAGCCAGAAGGAGUUCUGAUAUGUAUGACUCACGGACAGCUCGAUAUUAGACCUAGAGGAUCACAUACAUAUGGUAGGCAUUGCGAUGAGUAGAGAUUCGAAUAUUAUAUAUCCGUCGGAGCCCCUAUCUUAUUGGAUAUUAAAUAAGCUAAUGAAUUAUUGAAUCCUAUGGAUGUGAUCCAAUAAGAGCUCAUGUGAGAUUAUUGGAUAUAAAUCCACUAAUUUGAAAGACUUGGGUAGUUGGAUAAAUAUCCAAUACCCAAUAGAGGAUGAUUCAUUAGGGUUAAGUUGACAUGAGACCUUUAUAAAUAGGAUAAAUAGGAAUGAAUCAGUGGUUCAUAGGCUAGAGUUUUGAGGGCUAAAAAGGAGGGCACUUGACCUCCUUCACCCUUUAAUAGAGAUCUGUAAGGAUUCAAGGAUAUACGAUCACCAUAGGUAACAUAAUUUAUCUCAUACGUGGUUUUCUGUUUUACGGAUUUUUAUGCACCAAUCUUCGCACGACGACAAACAUAUCUUUGGGAAUUAUAUAUUUUGUUUCAUGUUCUUCCGUGAUGUCGCCUCCCAAAAUUUUCCGACAUACGCACUAUUUAAAUAGUUGAUUUUUGUAGUGAUUUUGUUUUAGGAUUCAUUUCUCUCGGAGGAUUGUGGAUCAUGUUUAACUAAGCUUUUAAUUAUUCCCCCUUUCCCUUACAAUUGAUUUUGAGGUCAUUGGAUACAUAUUUAUUUACGAUGUCUUUUCUUUUCCAUGAAUGUUAUUGAAUCCUCGUAUCAACCACAUAGUAUCGGUACUCACAUGUCACAAAAUUAUUAUCAUUUUUUUUCGAUUUCUCUGAUUUGUGUGUUCUCUCCCUAAUAAAAUAUUCGUGAUAAAAUACAUAUUUUUUUUAAACAAAAUAUGUUAUCUGGUCUGAUAAGAAUUCAUUAGAAAAAUUACACAAGUAAAUAAGUAAAAUCUUUUGCUUGGUGGACUCUUUUUUUAUAAACUAAUCAUACGAUAAUAAAACUAUGCAAUAAUUAUACUAACCAUUGUGAUAUCUCAACAUAUAUAAUUUUUAAAUAAAAAUUAUAAGAAGAAUAUAGAAUAUAGAGGAAGAGAUCGCCCAAAGUUAGGUAUAUGCGUGAGUCAUGUUCUUGAUUUAUUAGAAUUUUUAGCAUCAAAGAGUCAAACAUCUAAUACCGUUUGAAAAAGUUAAAAAAAAAAGUUAUUGUAUUAAAUGAUAUACAUAGUAGACUUAAACUUGAGACUUAUAACCAAUUGAAUAUCUCAAUAGAGAUAAAAUUCUAAUGUUUUAGGUUUUGAUUAUUACUCGACCCUCUUAAACAAAGUUGAAGUUGGAUAAAAAUUAGGAGGACUUUUAUUAUUGGCAACAUUAAAUCAGCUAAAGUUCGCACGACAAAGCGAAGCUUUCUAAAGACAAUUAACUGCAAUUCUUUUUUUUUUUUGUUUCUUUUCCAAAGUGAACUACAAUUCUUUUCUUUUUCAAAGGGGAAAAAAAAGAAAAAGGGAGGCACAACGACGAGAAUUGCAAUUGAGAUGCGUAUUCUUUACGUAAAUAUGAAUCAUCCUAAAACGAAGGGAAAGAAAAAGGAAAAAAGAAAAAGACUGUGUUCUUCCCGCAUGGAUGUCUAUUCUUCGUUCUCUCACACGCCGUCUGUGUCUUCAAAUUUAGAUUGUACGAAUGUGUCCUCCAUUUUCAAGCAUCAGCCAUACGAUUAUUACCUUCAGGUAAUUCCCGUUGGGCGGCUCAACCUGCAUUUGCGGCACCGUCGGAGGUGAGGAUGUGGGUCGACUGCUGGAUAGGGGAAAAGGUCAGAGUCAUUAAAUAAACAUCAAUACUAUAUGUGUGUCUGGGUGAAGUAGUCAAAACUAGUUGUUGGCCUCUCUCCUCCUCGUUUGUACGAUGUGAGACUCUUCUUUUAGUAUCGAUGAUGUCUUUGUCAACCCGACUCAAUGUGUGCAGGAGCUUGAGAAUGUCUGAGAGGCUAGCUCGAGUUCUUGCCUGAUUGCUCGAUGAUCGAUUCCUAAGUUAAAGCCAAAGUGAGAAAAAAAAAAUCAUGGAUAAAUAAUAACUAAACUUCGUAAUAGUAAAGAGAUGAAUAUUUAUAGAAUAUUUUAUGGUAUAAUCAAAUAUUUCUUUGAUAGGACCACAGUCUCAUCCUGGGUCCCAUCACGUAGCGAGUUGGGGGUGGUGGAUUUCUGCCCCAUCAAGUGUAAAGGAGAUGACGAGUUUUGAGUGUCGGGAGUGUGUUUCUACUUUGACAAGCUUGAAUCAGCCUUAACCGCAGGACAAGUGGAUGAUUGUGCUGUUUAGAGAGGUAACAAAGCCAGCCAAUUAAAUAUAUUAGCAAAAGCCUUCAUGGUCUCCACCUAUUCUAUCUCAAAGUGACAAAGGAGGAAGAGAUGUGUACUAAAGGGCAUAAGAAAAACACCAAGUGCCACGACUAUAUAGACGCUUAUUCUAUAUACAAACUAGAAAUAGACAAAAGGAUAAAAAUAAAAUAAAGAGACACCGCAAUAAGAAUCGGAUUUGGUAAAGAGUUUUCCUCAGUCGAGCUGGGAGGAUCGGCUAAGAGUUUUGUAAAGGCAACACUGCUGAUGAAAACCAAUCGUCAUAUUUUGUGGCGGCAGCUGCUUUCAAUUAAUAAAACCAAUCAUGCUUACCUUUUUCUAAAGUGUUCAAUGAGGAGACAAUAAAAGGAACUGUCAAUUCACGCAUAUUACUUACCGUACGCAGAAGGAGGCGUAGGCACGUCGGUCGAUGGUCACUUGAUCUCCUUCCUGGCCAUCAUAUAAAGGGAGGCCUUCAGGUGCUCAUCUAAGACCACCAAGGGUACGUGAAGGUUGAAGACGUAGCCAUGGAUCCUUCGGGAAGCUAUUUGGCCCUCCCAACAGAUAACUGUGACGACGAGAAUAGACCACCAACUGUCUUCGACGUGGAUUACUUUUGCACCGUGAAGUCUCUGAUUCAGCAGGAGAAGUACGAGGAUCUAUUACCCCUAGCCAUGAAGAAGGAUCCUCCACUCAACCUCAUGGAGGACCCUGUGCUCAACGUCGUCAUCGAAUACAAGAAAACCAACCUCGCCAAACGGCUGAUUCAAAACAUGCCCGCGGAGGAGCACGGAUCGCUGUGGUACGCUAAUUACCACGGCGACACGGCUCUCCAUGUCGCGGCCACCGUGGGUGACCUCGACGUGGCCGAGGCGUUGCUCCGCAAGAACUCAGAACUCGUCAGUGCACGGAACAACAAGAACGAGACACCGCUGCACAAAGCGGCGCUGUACGGGCACGAGACGAUGUUCUGGGACCUGAUGAAAAUGGUGACGCAUGACCCGUACGAGCGGAGGGAGGACGGCGCCACGGUGCUGCACUGUGCCAUCAUGGGCAGCGCGCCGGGUGAGUUGUCAUCAAUUCCAGGAAGCCAUAGUCAUAUAUAGCUCCUUUCUUGUUUUCCAGAAAUAUGUUUACAUAGUUGAAUUGUAAUGUAGCUUUAGCACUGAAGAUUGCCGAGACAUAUCCACUGCUGAUCACGUCGAGGAAUGAUGAUGCGGUGACUCCGAUGCAGCUGACGGUGACCAUUCCAGGGUUAUUCCGAAGCCUAACGAAUCUUGGGCCCUUAGAGGCCGCAAUUUAUAUGCGUGAGUGCAAGCGGAUCGAUACAUCCGUCGUAAUGUCAUUUAUAGGAUUUACUUCACCAUAAAACAAUCACAGCAUGUAGUUAUGGUAACUAAGGCUUUGUUACAUCAAAUAAAAGCACACCAAUAUGCAUGCUAGCUCUUGAAACUUCACGGCUGUAUACUUUGAUUGCAAUGUUGCAGUGAUUCCAAACGAAGAGGACUCCAGCAAGCCACGCGCAGUAGAUGAAGAGUCACCCAGGGGCUCGAGCGCUGGUGAAGUAUGUGCUUCCGGAUGAAUCAUUUUAUUUUGCAUGAUGGCAUGGAUAUAGUUCAUGACGUCGAUAGCAUCUUUUCUCGUACUUGUCAAUAAUAUUUAUCACAAAAUUUAAGAGAAGUUUUUUCCUCAAACUAUAGACGAGACAAAGUUUGAUCUACCAUGUGUUCGAAAUUUUUGUAAUACGAAUUACCCUUUCGGAAUAUUUCUAUUUAUCUCACACAUAUGAAUAUAGGUUUUUAAAGUCUUUCACAUAUUCAUAAAGGUUUAAACUUAAUAUAUGUAACUCAAUUUUUAAGUCUUUCUCUUCGAAGGGUUCAAACUUCGAGUUCAUAUAUUUUUUAACUUUACGAUAUGGUUCACACAUCUACAUCUACCCAAUGGUAUGACUCAUCUACAUUCAGUGGAUGGAAUAUUAUGUAAUUUAUUUUUUUAUAAAUGAUGAGUUUGAGUCAUAUUCUAGUUAGGGUUAAUGUAUAUUAGGUCAUACGUCAUACAUCAAUUGAAUCUAGAAACUUAGAUUUUUAUAUUAUUAAUCAAAUUUAGUAUAUGUAAUUGGAUUCUUUCGAUUAUUAGUAAUAUGAGACUAUCCUCUUAGAAUAUUUCUUUUCAUCUCAUAUAUGAUUUGUCCUUGCUCUAGUAUUAUUUCCUUCUAUUGUUUCUGAGGUUGUCGUCUACAUGUACGUAAUAAAGGGAGGUGCAAAAUAUGUCAAGCGAAAGGUUGUGUCUCUUCUGCCCCCCAAAACGUUUCGUUCGAAAUUCCCAUCUCACUACAGCGGUCUCUUUGACCUCUUGGAAUUGAUGUUCAUCCCAGGUACUCACUCCUACGAGCUUCUCUAUUUACAUUUCUUACCUGGAUCUUAUUGUUGGAUCACAGUACUACACUGAUUCAUGCUUCUGUUGAUGCAGCCAGAUGGGUUCAUUUGUUGCUUUUCCGCAUUCUAAAGCAACGUAAGUCAUUGUUCGUGGAUGGAUGCAUGAUGUUUAGACCUGUUGUCCUUUUCCAAUUAAUGUUAUUGGAAUUGCAAUGCAUCAUGCAGUGUUCCCUAUGAUCGAACGUCUGGAGAAGCAAAAGAAAACCCACAAGGAAACCUUGGAACUGAUCGAGUUCUUAGCCUAUCAUCCAGACCACAUGGAGUUCUAUUCCAAGGGAAGACGAAAGGGCAAGGAGAAAAGUCCUCUUGCAGGAGACAACACCACUUCUGGAACAGAACAGUCUCCUCCGUCCACAGACGCCGGUGAAGGCCAAGGAGUAAAUGGAGGAGGGAACCGAGAUAAAGCCAUUGUUAGGCUUGCGGAAAAGCUAUUUAUGUAUAUGUCGCACAAGGAUGCCAAUCACGAAGCAGCAGCAGCAAAAGAUCUCCAGAAGAGCAUGAAGGAGGCGAUGGAGGAACUGUCCGGUGAAUCCACAAUUAGAAGAUGGGACGAGCCGCCCCUGAUCUUGGGUGCACAAAUGGGUCUUCCUGAGUUCGUCAGGUCGAUCUUGCUAGUACGUCCGCAGGCAGCAGCAUACCUGGACACCAAGGGGAGAAGCGUUCUCCAAGUCGCAGUCAUGUAUCGUCGCGAGGAGAUUGUCAAGAUCAUAAUGGACAUGAGAACCAUUUUACCAUCCUGGUUAUUUUCCGAAAUCGAACCCAAAACCGGGAACACCAUCCUGCAUCUUGCUUCAGAUGGAAGCCCUGAUGUAGCAAAGAAAAAGCAAGAUGAACCAGAUUCAAUGGAACUGCAUUACGAUUUAGUAUGGUUUGAGGUAAAGUUGCUAAACCUUUUUUGGCCCCCCUCCUCCAAUUCUUUGACAUGCUUCUCAAAAGUAUUAUCCGUUCAAUUCUUUGACAUGCAUUCUUCGGUGUCGGUUGUGGGUUAUUCGCGCAUAAUACAAAAUAACCAACAAAUACACAAAUAAAAUCUACAUAUUCUCAGAGUUGCGUACUAAAUUUGAUCGUUUUCUGACAUUUGUAUGCAGACGGUGGAAAAUAUGGUUCCCAUGGAAUUAACCUACAGUCGAAACGCGCAAGCAAAGACCGCAAAAGAGAUGUUUACUGAGAGUCACCAAGUGAUGCUCAGGAGUUGCAAACGUCAACUAAUGGAAACGGGCAGGAUGUGUUCAGGGUUGGUCGCUGCAAUAGUGUUCGCGUCGAGCUUCUCCGUCCCCGGCGAUAAGGACCCAGCGACCGGCAACCCGGUUUGCUUCGGUAGGGCAACUUUUAAGGUCUUCUCACGUGCGUACGCGAUUGGGUUGUCAUGCGCCGCCACAUCUCUGGUGUUGUUCUUAUCCCUCGCCACGUCAGCUUACAAGGAGCAGAAGUUCCGUCGUAUAAUCCCAACCAAAUACUUCUUUGCCCGCUCGUCGUUUGGGUUUGCGAUGCUGUCUUUUCUGGUGGCGUUCACCUGCAACAUCUACCAACAAUUAUAUGGCUGUCAGAAGACGAAGUCGAAGGACUUGAUUCCAUUCGUAAUGGAGCUCACCGUCUUCCCCGUCAUCUGUUUCCUGGUGUUGUUCUUUUGUGGCUCCGAUUUCGGUCUAUCUUUCCUUCGUCUUUGGCGUUGAGUCAACAAGCAUGAUCGUCCACAUCUUUGGAAUCUGCAGCUUCAUGAUGUAACGUGGGUUCUACCUAUUACGGUAUGCCACCUGUUCUAGCGGUUUGUGGUAGUAGAAGUCAUUGGCCAGUUAAUAUCUUGCGUGUACAAGCAGCAACAAAGGCAUGUUAUAUAUGGACGCUAUUUCAAUGUAACUUUAAUGUGGUUUUAUCUUCUAUCUUCGAUUAGAUGAUAUCGUUGCAACGGUAGUAGACAAAAGAGCUGACCAUGAAUAAUGGUGUUGGCCCUCUCUAUUGUUUUUGUUUUUGACCAAGUCCAUAUGACAAAGCUUUUGAUCGGAUCUUACCCUGUAUCGUCAUGUAUACUGUCUCAUGUCGAGUGACAGAUUUCCCCUGUCACAUGCAAAUUGCAGGGAGAUGUAUGGACGUUCUUUCGUUUUAAUCUUCUGUGACACUCACAUAGUCCAUAUCGUACAGUAUUGUUCCACCAAAGUUUGCACAUGCAAACGAAAUGAUUGGCUUCUUAUAGAAGCCAAUCAUUCAAGAAGCGAAGGAGGUCAAUUUUGGAUUACAAAAUGAUCAUUUAGCUUUUCCAUCCCCGGCGAGAAGCAUCCAGCAACCGGAAACCCGGUCUAUUUCGACAAGCUACCUUUUCGGAUCUUCUCGCACGCGUUCGUGAUUGGGUUGUCAAUCGCCGCUACGUCUCUCGUAUUGUUCCUAUCCUUCCUCGUCGCGCCUUACAAGGAGCAGCAGUUCCGCCGUGCCAUCCCAGUCAAGUACUUCU
rnacentral:lncRNA from 1 species